rnacentral:rRNA from 1 species
GAUGAACGCUGGCGGCGUGCCUAAUACAUGCAAGUCGGGCGAAUGGAUUAAGAGCUUGCUCUUAUGAAGUUAGCGGCGGACGGGUGAGUAACACGUGGGUAACCUGCCCAUAAGACUGGGAUAACUCCGGGAAACCGGGGCUAAUACCGGAUAACAUUUUGAACCGCAUGGUUCGAAAUUGAAAGGCGGCUUCGGCUGUCACUUAUGGAUGGACCCGCGUCGCAUUAGCUAGUUGGUGAGGUAACGGCUCACCAAGGCAACGAUGCGUAGCCGACCUGAGAGGGUGAUCGGCCACACUGGGACUGAGACACGGCCCAGACUCCUACGGGAGGCAGCAGUAGGGAAUCUUCCGCAAUGGACGAAAGUCUGACGGAGCAACGCCGCGUGAGUGAUGAAGGCUUUCGGGUCGUAAAACUCUGUUGUUAGGGAAGAACAAGUACCAUAGUAACUGAUGGUACCUUGACGGUACCUGACCAGAAAGCCACGGCUAACUACGUGCCAGCAGCCGCAGUAA